rnacentral:rRNA from 1 species
AACGCGAAGAACCUUACCUGGGCUUGACAUGCACCAGAUCGGCGUAGAGAUACGUCCUCCCUUGUGGUUGGUGCACAGGUGGUGCAUGGUUGUCGUCAGCUCGUGUCGUGAGAUGUUGGGUUAAGUCCCGCAACGAGCGCAACCCUUGUCUUAUGUUGCCAGCACAUUUUUGGUGGGGACUCAUGAGAAACUGCCGGGGUCAACUCGGAGGAAGGUGGGGAUGACGUCAAAUCAUCAUGCCCUUUAUACCCAGGGCUUCACACAUGCUACAAUGGUCGGUACAACGGGUUGCGACACUGUGAAGUGAAGCUAAUCUCUCAAAGCCGGCCUCAGUUCGGAUUGGGGUCUGCAACUCGACCCCAUGAAGUCGGAGUCGCUAGUAAUCGCAGAUCAGCAACGC